AGUGAACGCUGGCGGUAGGCCUAACACAUGCAAGUCGAACGGCAGCACAGUACGAGCUUGCUCUUACGGGUGGCGAGUGGCGUACGGGAGAGGAAUACAUCGGACUCUACUCUUUCGUGGGGCUUAACGUAGGGAAACUUACGCUAAUACCGCAUACGACCUACGGGUGAAAGCAGUGGAUCUUCUCACCUUGCGCGGUUGAAUGAGCCGCUGUCGUAUUAGCUAGUUGGCGGGUUAAAGGCCCACCAAGUCGGCGAUCCGUAGCUGGUGUGAGAGGAUGGUCAGCCACACUGGAAGUGAGACGGCGUCCAGACUACUACGGGAGGCAGCAGUGGGCAAUAGUGGGCAACAGUCGCGAACCUGGUCCAGCCAUACCGAGUGGGUGGAGAAGGCCCUCGGGUUGUGAAGACGGUCUGUUGGGAGAGAACAGCAGCCGGUUAAUACCCAGCUGUACUGACGGUAACCAGAGAAGAAGCACCGGCUAACUUCGUG
rnacentral:rRNA from 1 species